UUCUAAACUAUUUAUGUCAGUUUUUUACUGUUUGGUACUGUUUGUUUAAUGUGAUGUUUUUAAAAUUUAGAAAUAAAAUAUAGUAUAUUUAAAUAAGAAAAAUUAAUAUACAGAUGAGAUGAAAAACAUCUAUCGGCAAUCCAAACCGGGCAAAGGUUCUUCACAAAAUAAAAAAAUAAAAAAAAAAAGAAAAAGAAAGAAAAGAUUGACAAAUGAAAUUGUCAUAAGGGGCAAUGUACUCAAUACUCAAUAGCAUCAUUAUUAUCUUCUUAUUUUUUUCUUUCUUUUUCAUUCUUAUUUUUUGUUGCAAAUGAUCAUUCUGUUGGCCCAAACAUUAGAAAAGAAUAACAAGCAAAGAAUGAAAAAAAAGUGUACCGCAUUCAACCUACCUACGUACUCUCCGGCACUUGUUCUUUUCCUUUGUAUUCAAGCCGUUUUUAUUUCUUCUUCUUUCUUUUUUCUCUUAGUAAUCUUCACUAGUUUGAAAUAUUAAUAUCUUUUUACAGGUACGAAGCCAUGAAUAAUUAAAUUUUUUAAUAUUUCACAAAGAUUAAUAUUUGAGAAGUUCUACACAACAUUCUACUGUAGGUCAACCUCCGCACACUAACGUAUGUGUAUUUACUUUUCUAUUUUUUUAUUCGUUUUAUGAAAUGUGCGUUUAGAAUCCUAAAUCUAUAAAUCAGUCUUGCUAUAACUUCCAUAUGGCUUCGUCGCAUAGCUUGCGGUGUUGCUUCUCACCGCUCGUCUCCUUAACAGCGCCAUCUGUGGCCACUGACAGUGGUCUAUUCUGAAAGAAGGGAUCUUCAUAGAUAAUUUGAACACUGGACAGACAAUGGAUUCUGACAUGAAACCCAGGUACACAGCAUGAGGCUCCUCAAACCCAAGUACAUUGGUGGUUAUGGAUUUUGACAUGGAUUAUUUUUGUGGUAGACGGACUGCUCCUCCCUUUUUGGUGAAGUAUCAUUGGUGGAGAUGACAUUGUUUUGUGGAGAUGACUAUUUUUAGUGCAUUUAGUCUCCAUAAACAUGUAGCUAUUGUAAAUUCCAGACGUUAUUGUUUUUGAGUAUUUCAAUAAUUUAUUGAGCAAGUUUGAUCCAGAUUUUUUGUAAUGAAACUACACUGUCAUUUAAAGAUCAAUGAUAAUAACUUUUCUGGUUUCAGUUUUCAA